rnacentral:rRNA from 1 species
UACGUAGGGGGCAAGCGUUGUCCGGAAUUAUUGGGCGUAAAGCGCGCGCAGGCGGUUAUUUAAGUCUGAUGUGAAAGCCCACGGCUCAACCGUGGAGGGUCAUUGGAAACUGGGGGACUUGAGUGCAGGAGAGAAAAGUGGAAUUCCACGUGUAGCGGUGAAAUGCGUAGAGAUGUGGAGGAACACCAGUGGCGAAGGCGGUUCUCUGGGACGGUACUGACGCUGAGACGCGAAAGCGUGGGGAGCGAACAGG